UACAGAGGGGGCAAGCGUUGUUCGGAAUUACUGGGCGUAAAGGGCGCGUAGGCGGCCUCUUAAGUCGAACGUGAAAUCCCCGGGCUCAACCCGGGAACUGCGUCCGAUACUGGGAGGCUUGAAUCCGGGAGAGGGAUGUGGAAUUCCAGGUGUAGCGGUGAAAUGCGUAGAUAUCUGGAGGAACACCGGUGGCGAAGGCGGCAUCCUGGACCGGUAUUGACGCUGAGGCGCGAAAGCGUGGGGAGCAAACAGG
rnacentral:rRNA from 1 species